rnacentral:misc_RNA from 1 species
AAGUCGUAACAAGGUUUCCGUAGGUGAACCUGCGGAAGGAUCAUUACAUUCAGUAGCCUAGCUACUUGUUUAUACCCUUGUUUUUUGCGUACCUAUUGUUUCCUCGGCGGGCUUGCCCGCCGGUUGGACAAAACCUAUAACCUUUUUAAAUCUUCAAUCAGCGUCUGAAUUAUACAUAAUAAUUACAACUUUCAACAACGGAUCUCUUGGUUCUG